rnacentral:misc_RNA from 1 species
UAAUAAGUGUUCUACUGCACUUUUUAAAAAUAGUACUCACCUUGUGUGCAAUGUUGUGUGAGAUUUUUAGUAAAAAAAAAUUUUUUUUUUCUACUACUUUUUUCACACCUACACCAACCUAUAAUUUUGAACCACUUUGUCUGAAAAACUAUUAUGAAUACUUAAUUCAAAAUA